GAGGGAACGUGGGGAAGUGAAACAUCUCAGUACCCACAGGAAGAGAAAACAAAAGUGAUUCCGUUAGUAGUGGCGAGCGAACGCGGACCAGGCCAGUGGCUUAUUUUGAUAAACCGGAACCAUCUGGAAAGUUGGGCAAGAAUGGGUGAUAGCCCCGUACGGAUAACAUUGAGAUAAGUCCUCGAGUAGGGCGGAACACGUGAAAUUCUGUCUGAACAUGGGGGGACCACCCUCCAAGCCUAAGUACUCCUUAGCGACCGAUAGUGUACCAGUACCGUGAGGGAAAGGUGAAAAGCACCCCGA
rnacentral:rRNA from 1 species